GUCAUUUUGAGCGUUAUACUGGCCAACACUCUUCGCAAUCAAACAAGAGAAGUCUACACUAUCAGAUAAAAACUUAUCGAGCGACUGGGAAAACAAGGAAUGGCGCAAUUUACAAUACAAGUAAAUGAUCAUAAAAUAUUGCAUUAGUGUUUACCUUGUUACACUCGAAUUUCUGCGUUUAUUUAACACGGAUAUAUGAGAAAUAGUGUUACAAACAAGUUACGUACUUAGUUGGGUCGUCAAGUAGGAUUGAAAUAGCCAAUAAAAAUUUUCGUUGCCAUUGUCCUUUAAAAUAUCACAUCAUAUUUUCUCUGAAGUAUUAUUUCAACUUUCAUGCUCAGAUUUAAUAGAUACAUUUUGGAAAAAAGCCGUUCGUUUUUUAGUUAACUUUUUUAUUUACUCCAGCCAUCGCCGCCAGCAAACAUUUUUUUGUCAAUUUUCCCGCGUUUUUCCCCGUUUCCUAGGAUACGCAAUCUCGGACCCAGAGCAAUGCCUGUGCGCGGGCUAGGAAGGCAUUGGCUCUGGGGAAAUUGACAACCGGAACCCCUAAAUUUAGGGGUUCCGGUUCUUUGUCGGCACGCACUAUUGAUAAACGUUCACCAAUCACAGCACAGGAAAAAUUCAAUUUCCCCAGAGCCAAUGCCUUUCUUACCUGCGCUCAGGCAUUGCUCUGGGUACGAGAUUGUAGGAUACGAGGCCUCAUCACGAUUUAUGAAUAAGGUCUAUGAAGGACAAAAAUGCUUGCAAACACAAGAGAAAAAUUGCCAAGAUAACAUACACGUCAUGUCAGCAGAAUUGCAAAAAAGGUUGUCGUUUACAAACCUUAAACCAUAAACUCUAAGCGUGCAAAGCAUAAUGGGAGCAUCAUUUAAUCAGUUAAGAAAUCACUUAUGGGGCCCAUUUUUGAGAGACAUGGUAAAUAUCUCCUUAUACGAGAACAAUUCAUUCGCAAAUAGCUGCAAUAUUCAACUACUAAGCUUGCUUUUGCUCCCAUUUAGCUUUGCGCGCUUAGAGUUUAAGGUUUAAAGUUUAAAAGGUUUGCAAAGGACAACCUUUUUUUAAUAUUUCACGUCAUGUUCUACUUUACAGACCCCGUUGAAGUUAUAGAAAUCCAUUAAAUAAGUGAUGCUUAUAAGUAAGCCACAAACGAGAGAUCCCAGACCCGUGUAGAGGUCCUAUUACCUAUCCCAAAAUUAAAAUAAAUCAGGAAUAAAUCACGUAAAAGUACUCCAGAAAAUGUUUACUUUGUUACUGUACAUGCUGACUUCUCAAAAAUAGUACUCUAGUACAGUAACGAAGUACAUUUACUUCGUUACUUGACACCACUAGGAUUUAAAGGCAAUUUUCCAUUGCAUGCAAUCGCUUCAGGGCCGCAGAUAG